UUUUAACUGGAUCAAUUCCAUGGGUCAAAUUAAAUGUUCCUGUCUCAGUCUAUGAGGUCUGUUAUAGCAGGAAUGCCAUAGACUGGGUAACUUAUAAUUAACACAAUUGUAUUUCUCACAGGUCUAGAGGCUGGGAAGUCCAAGAGCAAGGUGCCAGAAGAUUCAGUGUCUGGUGAAGACCUGCUUUUUCAGUCUUCUCACUUUGUCUUCACAUGGUGGAAUAAGUGAGAGAGCUCUCUGGAGUCUCUUUUCUAAGGUCCUUGUAGAAAAAGCAGAAGAGCUCUGCCAGACCAUAGAGAGCCAGUCCUUCUUUGAGAACGCAGCCUUGGCAGCCGUGGGCCUUUGCCUCGCUGUCCCCGCCACCCUUCUUCCCUUGCUGCCCCACCCCCACCAAGAAGCCCCAGUGCCCAACUCCAGCCACUGUCACUGGGAUCCAUGAAAAAGCCAGGCCCGUGUUACUGAUUCUUACAGCUCCAACUCACACCCCUACAUAUGUGAAUCAAAACCUGGACCGCAGGUGCAACUUCUCCUCUGAGCACCAGACACAGACGCUCCCUAGCCUGGGGCACAUCUCAGCCUGGGCUGUCAGAAGCUUUCGCAGAGCCUGAUGAGAAUCUUAAUAAGGAACUCUCCAGAGGUGGCGAUUGGAGGGGGAGAGAAAGGGAGAAAAACAAGAGAAAUGACUGCCCCUCGCUUCAGGGGAAUAGAGCCCUGGCUCUAGCUGCACAUCAGUAUCACCUGAGGUGCCUUCGAAAACUACCAGUGCCUGCUAACUCCACCCACCUACCCACCCACCCUGCACUUCACGAACACCAGACUACAAUUGAACUGGUCUGGGGAGGAGCCCGGCCACCGAGUGUUUCUCAAAAGCUCUGCUUGUCUUGUGAUUCUAAUGUGCAGCCAAGACUGAGAACCACUGCAGGCCAGCCUCUCCGGCUAUGAAGGCGCUCCAGAGACACAGAGAGAGAAUGAGAGGCAGAGACACAGGCAGAGGGA